rfam:Mycobacterium abscessus strain PAP053 genome assembly, contig: ERS075544SCcontig000016
GAAAUCAUUCUUAUCAGAGUAUACAAAUACGAUGAUAAACAGUUGAAGCGAAUCUUGAUUUGCUUUUCCUAAACCUGAUUCUUUUAGAAUCAGGUUUUUGUUUAUCUAAAAGGCGGCAUUCGUUCAAAAACGGCUGUCGCC